rnacentral:lncRNA from 1 species
AAGUUUCUUCCAUAAGUGUUCUUCUUCCUUUUAUUCAAUUUUCCAUUCGGCAGUUUUAAUUUCCCAGUCUUUCCUUUCAUUUGCACCGUUUAAUUCUGUACUUCCAGCUUUGUUUCUUUAUUUCGGUUCGGUUCAGUAGCUUAGCUUCUCAAUUCUGUCCAGUUUUCAAUUCUUGUUCUUCAUUCCUUGUGUUUUGAUUCCAUUGGACAAUAUAUGGACUUCCAUAUGAGUCUUGGUUGGUGCUAAGUCUUGGUGAGUUCUUGAAUUAGAACAUUGAUCCAAUUCUAAAGUAAAGUGCCAUUUAUGACCAGCUCAAGUUGCUCCUAAGAAUGUCAAAGAAUCAUGUAUUCUUGUAGUUACAUUCACAUCACUUAGAACAAUGAGGAUGGAGAAAUCAAAUUUUAUGCAAUAAAACAAUGCAAAGCUAUUUAUCAACUAAAACAAUUUAUCAAAGCUUUAAACAAAGAUAAGCAUAAGCAAAUUAAGCAAACUAAGAAAAUAUUGACGUAAGGUAAACUAGCUAGAACAAUUAACAAAGGCUAACCUAGAAAGCUUAAACUAGUCGUUCCUAGGUGAGGCUUCUUAGACACUUUGAGCCUUUGAAGACACACUCACCGUCUAAUUCGUGAUUAAUCCACUAAUUAACAAGAGUAAGAUGUAAUUAGAAUUCAAGAAAUGCAAAGAAAUUAAAUUGCACAAAUUAAAUUUCAACAAGACACUCCUUUGACUUGUUGUUACUCUUCUUUGUUGUAUCCUUCAAGGUGUAUGGUGUAUUUUGGUAUUGUGUUUGUUGCUGCCCCUUGCCUUGAUCCUCUUUGAUUUAAGUAAUUAAAUUCUUCAAUACAGUACCUAUUAAGUAAAGCUAGACUCUCCUCAAGUCAAAUCCCACUCAAGAAGCACCAAUUGAUAUUUAUCCACCAACAAAUUUAGAGGUCAAGAAAAGAAAGCAAGAAACAAUUAAAAUUUAAAAGCAGCACCACUGCAAUUGGAUUUAAUAAAGUGACACAACUAGAAGGAGUUCAAAAUGAAUUGGACAAGCAAAUAAAAAUAGGCACUCAAAUAAUGGAUGACACACAAAAGGAACCUAAAGAUUGGCACUAUAAUUGAUUUGAAAAACCAAAACAGCACAACUAAAAAUAUUGUGGUCCAGAAAGCGUGACUUAA